rnacentral:rRNA from 1 species
GACGAACGCUGGCGGCGUGCUUAACACAUGCAAGUCGAACGAAGAGCGAUGGAAGCUUGCUUCUAUCAAUCUUAGUGGCGAACGGGUGAGUAACGCGUAAUCAACCUGCCCUUCAGAGGGGGACAACAGUUGGAAACGACUGCUAAUACCGCAUACGAUCUAAUCUCGGCAUCGAGGAUAGAUGAAAGGUGGCCUCUACAUGUAAGCUAUCACUGAAGGAGGGGAUUGCGUCUGAUUAGCUAGUUGGAGGGGUAACGGCCCACCAAGGCGAUGAUCAGUAGCCGGUCUGAGAGGAUGAACGGCCACAUUGGGACUGAGACACGGCCCAGACUCCUACGGGAGGCAUCAGUGGGGAAUCUUCCGCAAUGGACGAAAGUCUGACGGAGCAACGCCGCGUGAGUGAUGACGGCCUUCGGGUUGUAAAGCUCUGUUAAUCGGGACGAAAGGCCUUCUUUC